AAGAUUCCAAAGAAAGGAAAGAUCUAUUCAGUGAAUGAAGGAAAUGCAAAGAACUGGGAUGGUCCAACUGCAAAGUAUGUUGAGAAGUGCAAGUUUCCUACAGAUGGUUCGUCUCCCAAGUCUUUGAGAUAUGUUGGAAGCAUGGUAGCUGAUGUCCAUCGUACAUUGCUUUAUGGUGGUAUAUUUUUGUACCCUGGUGACAAGAAGAGCCCUAAUGGGAAAUUGCGUGUGUUGUAUGAAGUUUUUCCAAUGGCAUUCUUGAUAGAGGAGGCAGGAGGUCAAGCGUUCACCGGAAAAAUAAGGGCACUUGACUUGGUUCCAAAGAAGAUACAUGAGAGAUCUCCCAUAUUUCUUGGUAGCUAUGAUGAUGUUGAAGAGAUCAAAGCUUUGUAUGCUGCUGCUGAGAAGGAAUGAAUGGAGGACUUCAAAACUUAGAACCAAGUUUACUUGUGAUUGAUGUUGGCUUCAUUGCUUUUGCCCCUUCUUAUAGUGUUUUCUAAUUGUAAUUGCAUUUGUUGCCAUAGAAUUUGAAUGUCUUUUUGAUUGUUCUUAGUUCUCUAAUGAUAAUGAAUGCAUAAAAUGUGGCCA
rnacentral:misc_RNA from 1 species